AUUUUUGUUCUAUUUUCAAUAAUCAUGUAUAUGUGUGUACACAUAGGUGUUGGUGUUAUCGUUGUGUUAACUGACUGCCUCUUAUUUUUUGUUAAAUGAUUUCUGUGUAUAAUCAUUAUCUAUCAAAGGAUAUUACUUGGUACUA